GAUUAUGGCUCAGGAUGAACGCUAGCGGCAGGCUUAACACAUGCAAGUCGAGGGGCAUCGGGAGUAGCAAUACUUGCCGGCGACCGGCGCAAGGGUGCGUAACGCGUGAGCAACAUGCCCGUAUCAGGGGGGAUAAUCCAUGGAAACGUGGUCUAAUACCCCAUAGUAAUUAUGUAAGGCAUCUUAUAUAAUUUAAAGCUUUGGUGGAUACGGAUUGGCUCGCGUGACAUUAGCUAGAUGGUAAGGUAACGGCUUACCAUGGCUACGAUGUCUAGGGGUUCUGAGAGGAAGGCCCCCCACACUGGAACUGAGACACGGUCCAGACUCCUACGGGAGGCAGCAGUGAGGAAUAUUGGACAAUGGAUGGAAAUCUGAUCCAGCCAUGCCGCGUGCAGGAAGACGGCCCUAUGGGUUGUAAACUGCUUUUGUAUGGGAGCAAUAAGGGCUACGCGUAGUCCGAUGAGAGUACCAUACGAAUAAGCACCGGCUAACUCCGUGCCAGCAGCGGC
rnacentral:rRNA from 1 species